rnacentral:rRNA from 1 species
UACGAACUGUGCGAACGUUAUUCGGAAUCACUGGGCUUAAAGGGUGCGUAGGCGGCUGCCUAAGUCAGGUGUGAAAUCUCCCGGCUCAACCGGGAAACUGCGCUUGAUACUGGCUCGCUAGAGUGCGGUAGAGGAGAGUGGAAUUCCCGGUGUAGCAGUGAAAUGCGUAGAUAUCGUAAGGAACACCCGUGGCGAAGGCGGUUCUCUGGGACGGUACUGACGCUGAGACGCGAAAGCGUGGGGAGCGAACAGG